ensembl:snoRNA SNORA73 Small nucleolar RNA SNORA73 family
UCUGGCUGGUGAGGACGAGCGUCCUGCAUAUUCCUACAUCUUCCCAGAGUCCUUUGGGGCCGUUACUGGGGAGCUAAACCAUGCAGU